rnacentral:rRNA from 1 species
CACCGGCGGCUCGAGUGGUGGCCACUUUUAUUGGGUCUAAAGCGUCCGUAGCCGGCUUGGCAAGUCCCCUGGGAAAUCUGGCGGCUUAACCGUCAGGCGUCCAGAGGAUACUGCCAGGCUUGGGACCGGGAGAGGUGAGAGGUACCUCAGGGGUAGGGGUGAAAUCUUGUGAUCCCUGAGGGACCACCAGUGGCGAAGGUGUCUCACUAGAACGGGUCCGACGGUCAGGGACGAAAGCUGGGGGCACGAACCGG